AACAGAGUCUACAAGAUUCAUUCAUCACAUAACCACAAAACCUUUGCUCGCGUUCACAACACAAACCCUAGAAGCCAACGUUUUUCAGGAGCGAGUGGGAGCAGAGGUAGUGGAGUGCGGAUGUGUAAUUGAAUUGCCAGAAUUAAAAGUAUGUUUAUUCUGGAUUUCUUUCAAUAUUAUUUUAUUUUAUUUUUCAAUUUAUAAUUUAGAACUAUUCCUAUUAGCUCCAAGCCUACUUUCAAUUUUGGAAUGAAAUAAACAGUGUAGCAGCUUUGAAUAUUUGUUUUGUCCUUUAUAAAAGUUCUUAAUGGAUGUGCAUGGCCAUUGGCA